rnacentral:lncRNA from 1 species
UUUAUUCAAAUAUGAUCUCUUGAGGAAAGAAAGAUAUACUCAACUUCUAAUCUCUUCUCUACUUCUGCAGAAAGGAAAAACAAUCCUAUUUAAAAGCAACUACAAUAACUAGUAGCUAAAAACAAGGAACCACUAACUAUGAACGUUAAUGCAUUAAUCCCACGCAUUAAACACAUUCUCUAUUCCCACGUAACUCCUAAAAAUCCUCAUAAAGUCUCCAACGUAACUCCCACGAUUUACUUCAUCAGUUACGCUCCAAAAGACUCGGUCUUGCUGCUGCUGUCAACUGCCCUCCAGUGUUUUGACACCCAAACACCUGGAUUAACACCA